rnacentral:rRNA from 1 species
CGCGUAGGCGGCUUGAUAAGUUAGAAGUGAAAGUCCUGCUUUCAAGGUGGGAAUUGCUUUUAAUACUGUUGAGCUUGAGUGCAGAAGAGGUAAGCGGAAUUCCAAGUGUAGCGGUGAAAUGCGUAGAGAUUUGGAAGAACACCAGUGGCGAAGGCGGCUUACUGGGCUGUAACUGACGCUGAGGCGCGAAAGCGUGGGAGCGAACA